rnacentral:lncRNA from 1 species
UAGACUCGAGCAAUUUUCUCACUUCAGCCUCCUGAGUUGCUGGGACCACAGGUGCACGCACCACCCCCUGGCUUUUAUUUUUUUAUUUUUUUUAUUUUUUGGCAGAGACAGUGUCGCCUUAUGUUGCCCAGGCUGAACACCUGUGUCUCUUAACCUAAGAGCUGUCUCCAGCACAGGAUGCAAGACAGCCCCAAAAAAGUGUUAGGGACUUAAAGCCACCAGAAGCUUUUCUUAACCAAUGGAAUACAGGAGUCAAUGGGAACAUCCUGUCCAGAGGAAAGGAUAUUUAAGGAGAAAGGAAGCAGCACAAGUUCGACUCAGCCAAGAAACAGAGGAAGGACAUCCCAAGCACGAAGUGGGGCACCAGUCUGUGUUCCAGCGAGAGAUAAAAGGGAGAGACACAACUGGCUCCAGCCCUUUUCCUGCCUCUUCCUGCUUUGAAUACUCACAUGAUACCUGGAGCUGCAGCAGCCAUCUUGUUUACCAAGAAGAAAAGCCAAGAUGAUCACAGAAUAGCCAGCACUGGUAUUGUUCCGCCAGCGACAGCAGAUACUUACCUCCAGAUUUUUGGGGAAAAAAAAGGAGCUGGAGUGACUCUCUUGGUCCCUAAGGUGGAAGCCAUGUGUUGAGGACACUGAGCAACAAGAUAGGAGGAGCCUGGGGCCCAGCCAGAGAACAGGAAGCCACCCAAAUAGCUCUCAACCCCUUAUAGAUGGACUACUAAAUGGGAAAUAAAGUAGACUGUUCUCUGGGCAGGAGGCAUCCGUGAAGGCAAAGAUUCUGUCUG